rnacentral:lncRNA from 1 species
GAUAGCACCAAACCCGUUGGAACCAACUCAAGCUAACCCACAGGAAAUUUACCAAAUGAAAAUGCAAGAACAAAAUAUUAAAGACACCAAGAUUUUAACGAGGUUCCUCAACAGUCAGUGUAACUGGAGUACGUCCUAGGAGCUCACCCAAGAAUCCACUAUCAACCAAAUGGGAGUUUACAAAGUGUUGGCAAUCUCACAACCCAAAACCCCAAUACAUCCAAUACUCACCAAAGAAACAAAUAGAGAGGGAAAUAUAGUGAAUAAUUUCCUCUCUAUACAAAGCUCAAAUCUAAUACACAAAUACAACUUUGAUUGGGUGAGUACCAACAAAGAAAGAAAAUCACCUUUCUUUCUUCUCUUCACAAUGGGGUUGCAGCACCUCUGUUUUCUUCUCUGUUUUUCUGCUAUGUUUUUUUUCUCUUCUAUGGCUGCAUUACUACUCUUCAUCAAAAACAGCAAUUACUUAUCAUUCAAAACCUCAGCCGUGGCUUUCCAUAGGCCAAAUAAAAACAAAAGGACUUUAGACAAGGUUCCAAGUUUUCCUCCCCAAAACAUUGAAGGGACAUAAUUAUAUUGUCAUUUUUCCUUUUUUUCCUCCCCAAAACAAAGAAGGAUGUUGUCCACCUUUUUUCUUUAUAAUUUUUUAUAGCCAAAAGUUGGCCACUUGGCCACAUACUCCAACAAUCUCCACCUUGGCCAAGUUCCGAAAAACGCCAUGAUAAGCCAACCAACACAAUUAACACGCAACAUCACUCCCAAACACUAGCAAGAGAACAACUCAUGCCGAGCCAAAUGCUCCAAAACUUCUACUGCUCAACGCCUUCUUUAUAUAGGCAAAAUAUGAGCCAAGUUCAAGCAAUGAACAAACUUGGCUACACCAACAACCUUAGUCAACAUCAGCAGUGUUGUCUUUAGUUGGAAUCUUCUGGAGAAUGAUUUCCCUUUCACCAACAAUUUCACGAAUAAAGUGAUAACGCACAUCUAUGUGCUUGGUCCUCGCAUGAUGAACCUGAUACUUAGCCAAAUAAAUAGCACUUUGACUAUCACAAUGUACCUCCACCUGCUUCUGAUCAACCCCCAAAUCUCUAAUCAGCCCAUGUAUCCAAAUGGCCUCCUUUAUAGCUUCAGCAACUGCCAUAUAUUCAGCCUCUGUAGUAGACAAGGCAACAGACGACUGCAAAAUGGACCUCCAACAAACUGGUCUUUUAGCCAUAGUAAACACAUAGCCUGUAGUAGACUUUCUUCCAUCCAGAUCACCUGCAUAAUCUGAAUCAACAUAACCAACUGCAAAAUGACCAAUACCAGAGUCAUCUCUCUCAAAGCAUAAACCAACAUCUCAAGUACCAUGGAGAUACCUCAAUAUCCACUUAGCUGCUUGCCAAUGCUCUUUACCUGGAUUAUGCAUAUAUCGACUCACUAUGCCAACUGCAUGAGCAAUAUCCGGUCUAGAGCAUACCAUUGCAUACAUCAAACUACCAACCAAAUUUGCAUAUGGUAUAUUUUUCAUUUGCAGCUUCUCUUUAUCAGUUUUAGGACACUGUAGAGAACUCAAUUUAAAAUGAGGAGCCAAAGGGGUACUAACCGGUUUGGUUGAAUCAUGAACUCCAAAAUUCCGAAUCAACUUCUCAAGGUAUUGUCUUUGAUUCAAACUAACCAAACCCUUCGCUCUAUCUCUAGUGAUCUCCAUGCCAAGGAUCUUCUUCGCUUCGCCAAGGAUCUUCUUCGCUUCACCAAGAUCCUUCAUCUCAAACUCAUUCUUCAUUUACUUCUUCAAUUUCUCAAUCUCUUCGACAUUCUUUGAGGCAAUCAACAUAUAUCAAUAAAUAAAUGAAAGACCCAUCUUGCAACUUCUUGAAGUACACACAAUGAUCAUAUUAACUUCUAGAAUAAUUUUGGCCUCUCAUAAAUUUAUCAAACCUUAAAUACCAUUGCCUUGGAGAUUGCUUCAAGCCAUAAAGUGAUUUCUUCAAUUUGCAAAACAAAUUCUCCUUCCCUUUCACUAUAUACCCAUCCGGUUGACACAUAUAAAUCUCUUCAUUCAAAUCACCAUGUAGGAAAGCCGUCUUCACAUCAAGUUGCACAAGCUCAAGAUCAUAUUGUGCAACAAGAGCUAACAUAAUGCGAAUUGAGGAGUGCUUCACAACCGGAGAAAAGAUUUCAUUGUAGUCAAUGCCCUCCUUUUGUGCAUAUCCUUUAGCAACUAAUCUUGCUUUGAAUCUCACAUUGCUUUUCUCAUCAGCAUCUUCUCUCUUGGCAUACACCCAUUUGCAACCAAUAGCUUUCUUACCCUUAGGCAAUUUAGCUAACUCCCAAGUCUUGUUCUUCAAGAGAGAAUUCAUCUCAUCACCCAUGGCAUUGCACCACCUCUCCUUCUCCUCACUCUUAAUGGCUUCCUCGAAAUUAGAUGGAAUUUCAUCAGUGAUAAUAGGAAGAGCAAAAGAAACAUAGUCACUAUACCGAGCUGGCUUGGUAAUUUGUCUUUUUCCUCUGUUCUUGGCAAUAGACUCUUGAGGUGAAACUUCCUCUUCAACUUGAAUAGAAUCUUCAAGUUCAACUUCUUCAACAUCCUCAUGGUCUCCAACUUCUUCACUUGUAGUGGCUUCGACAUCAGCAGAAAUAGGAUUUGAAGUACCAGAGGCAACUUUCUCAAGCUCCACCUGUUGGACAUCUUUCACAUUCUUCUCAGAGUCUUUGAACAUACUUUCUUCAUUAAAUGUCACAUCUCUACUGAUUACAAGUUUCUUCAUCUCUAGGCACCACAACCUGUAACCUUUGACACCACUACUAAAACCAAGAAAGAUAGCCCUUUUGGCUCUAGGAUCAAGUUUAUUUUCAGUCACAUGAAAAUAAGCAGGUGAACCAAAAAUACGGAUAUAGUCAUAAUCAGAAGAAGGUUUUCCAGUCCAUACCUCUAUUGGUGUCUUACCCUGAACAGCAGCUGAGGGUAACCGGUUGAUGAUGUGACAUGCAUAAUUAACUGCCUCUGCCCAAAAUGACUUGCUUAAACCCGACUGAGACAACAUACAUCUAACCUUCUCAAGCAAGGUUCGAUUCAAUCUCUCUGCAACUCCAUUUUGUUGUGGAGUUCCCUUGACACUGAAAUGUCUUACAAUCCCUUCUUCUUUGCAAACUUUAAAGAAAGGGUCGGAUGUGUAUUCACCACCAUUAUCCGAUCUCAAAAUCUUAAUCUUUCUCCCAGUCUGGUUCUCAACCAUUUUCUUCCAACCCAAGAAAAUGCUCAACACCUCACUCUUGUGCUUCAUAGUGUAGACCCAACACCUUCUUGAAUAAUCAUCAACAAAGGUCACGAACCAAUGUCUACCACUCAAAGAGGGAGUCUUUGUAGGACCCCAAACAUCUGAAUGCACAUAAUCAAGAAUGCCCUUCGUCUGAUGUACAGUAGUACCAAACUUCACUCUAGUUUGCUUUCCCAAGACACAAUGCUCGCAUAAAUCAAGCUUACAGGUCGUGGCACCUUUUAGAAGACCUUGUUUCACAAGCCUUUGUAGAGCUUUCUCACCGGCAUGGCCUAAUCUCAUAUGCCACAGUCUAGUAGUAUCAAAAUCGGAUGUGCCCAUAUUUUCUGAGACUACAGAUGUUUCACCUGUCACAGUGCUUCCUUGCAAUAAAUACAAAUGGCCACAUCGAGGAGCUUUCAUCACAACAAGUGCAUCAUAAGUAACUUUCAAUGUCUGUCAAUCUAAAUGAAACCUGAAGCCCUUGGAUUCCAAAGUACCCAAAGAAAUAUGAUUUUUCUUCAAAUUCGGUACAUACCGAACACCUGUCAACUCUUUAACCAUGCCAUCAUGCAACUUCAAACGAAUUGUACCAAUCCCUUUUGUUGUGCAAGGAUUGUCAUCUCCCAUGAACACAACGCCACCAUCAAACUCUUUCAAGCUUGAAAACCAAUUCUUGUGAGGAGUCAUAUGAUGAGUACAACCCGUAUCCAACACCCAUUUAGUAGCACAAUCAAAUGAUGAGGAAGUGGUUAAAGCAAAAUCAACAAAAUCUGUUUCAACCUCAGCAACAUUGGCUUCAGAACUUUCUUUUCCUUUGGUCUUCAACUUAGGACAAUCUUUCUUCCAAUGGCCCUUAUUAUGACAAAAGGCACAUUCAUCCAUUUCCAAAGGUUUUCUACCUUUAGAGUUUCCUCUAGGUCGAGACUGUGAUUUUUUUCUACUAGAAGAUGAUCUUCUCUCAGAUGAUCUACCUCUAACAAAUAAAGCUUCAGAGGUACUAUCAUGAUUUUUAUCUCUAUGCCUCAUUUCAUAAUUCAUCAUGGCAUUUGACACAUCUUCAAAUUUCACAAUUUCUUUACCAUGCAUAAUAGUGGUAACAAAAUACUCAUAAGAGUCCGGCAAUGAAUUCAACAAUAUUAAGGCCUUAUCUUCAUCCUUAAUAUCCUCAUCUAAAUUUAACAAGUCGGCAAUCAACUUAUUAAAAGCAUCAAGGUGUCUAAUCAUUUUUGUACCUUCUUUGUAUUGAAAGCGGUAGAGCUUUUUCUUCAAGUGUAGCUGGUUCUCUGCACUCUUUGUCAUAUACUUGUCUUCCAAUUUUUUCCACAACACACUUGCUACCGUCUCCCGCAUCACAAAAUACUUCUGAGUUUUUGCAAGGCACAACCGAAUUGAAGAGCAAGCCCACAAAUUUAAUUUCUCCCAUUCCGGCUUCGACAUAGCUUCCGGCUUCUCUCCCAAAGCGGCAAGUAGAUCUUGUUGAGCCAACACAUCUUUGACCUCACAUUGUCACAUCCCGAAGUUGUUUGUGCCAUCAAACUUUUCCACUUCGAACUUUGCAUUUUGCACCGUAGUUCUUGCAAACCCAGAACUGCUUCCAAAAGGAUUCUCAUCUUGCCCGUCUGACAUCUUUGGCAACUAGACAAUACCCAACAGCAACCAGUGCUCUGAUACCAAUUGUUGUGCUAGGAUAGCACCAAACCCGUUGGAACCAACUCAAGCUAACCCACAGGAAAUUUACCAAAUGAAAAUGUAAGAACAAAAUAUUAAAGACACCAAGAUUUUAACGAGGUUCCUCAACAGUCAGUGUAACUGGAGUACGUCCUCGGAGCAGUAGGAGCUCACCCAAGAAUCCACUAUCAACCAAAUGGGAGUUUACAAAGUGUUGGCAAUCUCACAACCCAAAACCCAAAUACACCCAAUAACUCUCACUCACCAAAGAAACAAAUAGAGAGGGAAAUAUAAUGAAUAAUUUCCUCUCUAUACAAAGCUCAAAGCUAAUACACAAAUACAACUUUAAUUGAGUGAGUACCAACAAAGAAAGAAAAU